rnacentral:rRNA from 1 species
GAUGAACGCUGGCGGCGUGCCUAAUACAUGCAAGUCGAGCGAACGGACGAGAAGCUUGCUUCUCUGAUGUUAGCGGCGGACGGGUGAGUAACACGUGGAUAACCUACCUAUAAGACUGGGAUAACUUCGGGAAACCGGAGCUAAUACCGGAUAAUAUUUUGAACCGCAUGGUUCAAAAGUGAAAGACGGUCUUGCUGUCACUUAUAGAUGGAUCCGCGCUGCAUUAGCUAGUUGGUAAGGUAACGGCUUACCAAGGCAACGAUGCAUAGCCGACCUGAGAGGGUGAUCGGCCACACUGGAACUGCGACACGGUCCAGACUCCUACGGGAGGCAGCAGUAGGGAAUCUUCCGCAAUGGGCGAAAUCCUGACGGAGCAACGCCGCGUGAGUGAUGAAGGUCUUCGGAUCGUAAACCUCUGUUAUUAGGGAAUAACAUAUGUGUAAGUAACUGUGCACAUCUUGACGUUACCUAAUCAGAAAGCCACGGCUAACUACGUG